GAGACUUGUUAGGAAGCUGGUGGAGGUGGACAGAGGAGGAGGCUGUGGAAAAGGAGACAAAGGGGCCUCUGAGGGAAUCCUGGAGAGGGAAAGAGGCCUAGGAGUUCAGAAAGGCUUCUGAGAGUGAUGGAUGGGCAGACAGAGAUGAAGUCAUUGAAGGUUAUGAGGUGGAAGCCAACGGGGGAAUCACGAUAAAGCUGCAGUCUCCAGAGGUCAGGUCAUUUGAUGAUUAUUUCCUGAAACUGAGGCUGGACACUAACACGAG
rnacentral:lncRNA from 1 species